rnacentral:rRNA from 1 species
UACGGGGGGGGCAAGCGUUGUUCGGAAUUACUGGGCGUAAAGGGUUCGUAGGUGGCCAACUAAGUCAGACGUGAAAUCCCUCAGCUUAACUGGGGAACUGCGUCUGAUACUGAUUGGCUUGAGUGCAGGAGAGGAACGCGGAAUUCCAGGUGUAGCGGUGAAAUGCGUAGAUAUCUGGAGGAACACCGGUGGCGAAGGCGGCGUUCUGGACUGCAACUGACACUGAGGAACGAAAGCCAGGGGAGCAAACGGG